rnacentral:lncRNA from 10 species
GAAAAUUGAACAGAAAAUAAACAUACAACAGGCCACUGCAAAGACAGAGACAGAACAAGAUGGAGGUUUCCUGAAGAAGAUCAUAUGAAUGUGGAGCACAAAAAUCGAGAGUCCCAGAGGCCAGUCCUGGCAGUGGCAGGCUGCCCCACGAAUCCAGUUUGCCUGGAAAUGAUGUGCCAAUUAUGGGGAAAGCAUCAGGCUUGAAGGGUCCCCAAGGUGGAGACUUCAAAUAUGCGAUCAGUCAUUAAGAUAAAGGAAUGUGAGAGAGAACUUGGGAGACUCUUAGCAGUUAACUUUCUUCUUUUCUGAUGUAUUUUCUUGGCACCUCCAUAAAGAAGAUAGAUAGGACAUUGUGUUUUUCAACUUAACUUUGUUUCAGUGUAGUUUAUUUUUAUGUUCUCCUAUUAGCUAAUUCGGACACUGUAUAUUUGCAAGACGCCGUUAACAUAAACGUUUUAUUAAAAGUGUGUCUCUGUACCCUAAUGUGAGGGAAUCUGCCAGGUUGCAGCACAGAAAUGGUUUUGCCUCAGAAAAUAUGGGAAGUCUUGAGGAUAUUACAGGAUCCACCACCUCUCCCAGAAAGCAAACCAAGUUCAGACACCCUCUAUGAGCUGAUACAGACAAAGGAAGCAGGCAGAAGAUACAUUCACCCUCAACACACAUUCACCUAAUUCAAAACACAAAACUUCUGCUACAAACACUAAUUCAUCAAUUCCAAUUCCCUAAUUUGGAAUUCAUAAUAAUGAAUUAUGAACUGUGGUUAACAUUACACUGUUAGUCUUUGUACAAUCUUUGAUGAGUUAAUCAAGCAAAUUUGUGGUGUAAGCCUGGGGAGAGAGGGGUAAACUACUUAGAAAACAAAAAGAUUUAAAACUGUUUCUGAACUUUCAGUUUUUUGUUGCAACCACUAUUAUUAGGGGGUCUUCAAUAUUCAUUAAAAGUAGGCUCAGCAAGUCAGCAAUUUGGCAACAUUUUAUUAUCAGUUUAAGUUACAUUUACAUCAUAGUCCUGAAGUGGUAAUAUAUUUUUCUAUCCCAUAAUUCCUUUAUGAUAACAGUUUACUCAAUUUUAUAUUAAAACACCUGUAAAGACACAAAAAUAUGAAAAUUUACAAUAUGGAAAACCCUCACAGGUGAUCAGCGACUAUCUGAGACCAGUGUCAUGCAGGUGGGUAAGAAGAAUUUGAAAUUACUCUUGUGACCCUGUGGCUCUUUGCCCAUCUUCCCAGUGGUAUUCAUUGCCUCAGAGAGAGGUGUGUACUACAUACAACAAAGGUGCCAUCAAUCGGCUUUGAGUUUAAAAGACAACAGUUUUAAAAGUUGGGCAUUCAAUUGCAAGAGCUUAACCCUUGGAGGAAAAAAAAAACAUUUUCUGAAUUCCACAUCUCCCUUUAGAAAAUUCUUCCUUCUUUUUCAAAAACAAUUAACGUAGAAGAAAUUAUGGAAUUAACCAUUUAGUAACCAUCAUAACUGACUCAGGUAAGUAUCACCAAUGAACGAUAAAACUAGUGGGUGACAGUUUGAGGAAUAAUAGGAUAAUAGCCUCAAAGUAUCUAUCUCCCCACAAGAUAAUUUAUUAAUUACCAAAGGAAAAAUAGUAACUUUACCAUGAAGAAACCUGGUAGACACCAUUUUCAUUUAAAGUGGCCAGAGUUAACAUUGUGAGCAUCAGGACAAUCACCGUCAUGCACUUCCUGAUCUGAUUCAUUGAGAAGGACACUAUCACUUCUGUGGGAUUCCUGCCAAAAACUCAUAACCUGAACCUAACCGAGCAGAAACAAACCAACCCAAACUAGAGGACAUGCUACAAAAUAAUAGGCCUACUAUCUUCAAAAAUGCCUGUGUCAUAAAACACCAAGACUAAAAGGUAUGACAAUAAUGUAAUGCAUAGCCUGAGAUUUUUCUUUUGCUAUAAAGGAUAUUAGAGGGACAAUUGGCAAAAUCUCAAUAAAGCCUAUAGAUAAUUGCAAAAUAAUCAUUUCCUGAUUUAUAUGUAUAAUCGUGCAUGUAUGUGUGUAUAUGUGUGUCCUUGUGUGGAGAGGGAAAGAGAAAAGAGAAUGUGGUAAAAUGUUAACAUUUGGAGACUCUGGAUAGAGAGUAUUUGAGAAUCCUUUGUACUUUUCCUAUGACUUUAAAUCUGAUCAAAA